UACGUAGGGGGCAAGCGUUGUCCGGAUUUACUGGGCGUAAAGGGCGCGUAGGCGGCGUGACAAGUCACUUGUGAAAUCUCCGGGCUUAACUCGGAACGGUCAAGUGAUACUGUUGUGCUAGAGUACAGAAGGGGCAAUCGGAAUUCUUGGUGUAGCGGUGAAAUGCGUAGAUAUCAAGAGGAACACCAGAGGCGAAGGCGGAUUGCUGGGCUGAUACUGACGCUGAGGCGCGAAAGCUAGGGUAGCAAACGGG
rnacentral:rRNA from 1 species